rnacentral:rRNA from 1 species
UACGUAGGGUGCAAGCGUUGUCCGGAAUUAUUGGGCGUAAAGAGCUCGUAGGCGGUCUGUCGCGUCUGCUGUGAAAACUCAGGGCUUAACCCUGAGCUUGCAGUGGGUACGGGCAGACUAGAGUGCGGUAGGGGAGACUGGAAUUCCUGGUGUAGCGGUGAAAUGCGCAGAUAUCAGGAGGAACACCGGUGGCGAAGGCGGGAUCUC